rnacentral:snoRNA from 1 species
UUGGUUUGCGAUGAUGAUAAAAUAGCACGAAGGUGCGUGAAGGGCAGUGGACAAAGCAAUGAAAAUUUGUUUUGCCGUGAGCUCUCUUUAAUAAACGACUUCUCCUUCCACUGAGCAUUU